CCUACGGGCGGCAGCAGUGGGGAAUAUUGGGCAAUGGGCGCAAGCCUGACCCAGCAACGCCGCGUGAAGGAAGAAGGCUUUCGGGUUGUAAACUUCUUUUCUCAGGGACGAAGCAAGUGACGGUACCUGAGGAAUAAGCCACGGCUAACUACGUGCCAGCAGCCGCGGGAAUACGUAGGUGGCAAGCGUUAGCCGGAUUUACUGGGUGUAAAGGGCGUGUAGGCGGGACUGCAAGUCAGAUGUGAAAACCAUGGGCUCAACCUAUGGCAUGCAUUUGAAAAUGUAGUUCUUGAGUACUGGAGAGGCAGACGGAAGUCCUAGUGUAGCGGUGAAAUGCGUAGAUAUUAGGAGGAACACCAGUGGCGAAGGCGGUCUGCUGGACCGCAACUGACGCUGAGGCGCGAAAGCGUGGGGAGCAAACAGGAUUAGAUACCCUAGUAGUC
rnacentral:rRNA from 1 species